rnacentral:rRNA from 1 species
UACGUAGGGGGCGAGCGUUGUCCGGAUUUAUUGGGCGUAAAGAGCGCGUAGGCGGCCGUUCGCGUCGGAUGUGAAAGCUCGGGGCUCAACCCUGAGAGGCCAUUCGAUACGGGACGGCUAGAGGUAGGUAGGGGAGAUCGGAAUUCCUGGUGUAGCGGUGAAAUGCGCAGAUAUCAGGAGGAACACCGGUGGCGAAGGCGGAUCUCUGGGCCUUACCUGACGCUGAGGCGCGAAAGCUGGGGGAGCAAACAGG